AAUGACAUGAAAGUUAUUUUAGCAGUCAGACUGUUGCAACAUAUCUUGAAAUUUCAAUCUUUCUGUUUUUCUUUCCCCCUCUUCCUUGGGAGAGAUUUGUCUCCUGAUGAGUCAGAGGUAUCCACAUUACCUUGGGAUGAAGUGGAAUGGUUAUGGAGAUGAAGUGGAAAAAUACAUUCAGGCUUGUUUUGAAAAUCAAAAUGGAAAGUCUGAAGGAAGCAGAACAUUGAAUUUUUACCAUGACCAUGUAAUUAAAAGCAUACAUUCUUUCUUCUUGCCAGGGAAAAGAGCCAGGAUGGGCUGGGACCCUAUGUGGGAGACUAUUUUUCCAUGACUUUAUUAAUUGUUCUGAAAAAGCUUGUGAUAGCUUUGUUCUAGGCUAGCCUUUCAAGGCUGUUUUCAAAUCAAACAGCCUUGCAAGGUGGAGCUAUUGUCUCUUUCUGGGGCAGGGAACAAAUUUUUUUUCCGAACAGUGUAAUAAAUGUUUCCCUCUGGGCAAAGUUUGGGCGUAUUUGCUAGCAGUGCCAUUAGAAGAGUGGGGAUUGCCUAAGGUUGGAGUUCCUCAGCUUUGACACAAACCCACUGUGCACAGCAUACACCUGGACGCACAUUCACAUGGCCCCCUUGAUACUUGGGGAGUAAGGAAAACUGAUGUAAAUGUAAAACUCAUGUCACUACCUGCCAUGCCAUCAGUAAGAAAGUCAGUUGUCUCAGACAUAAGGUGUCUCAUGUAUCUGCCAAGUUUAAUAAAAGUGUAGAAAGCUAGUGUGUAGCUUGCAAGUAGGAUAAAAGCUCACACUCUUAACAGUUCUUGGCCACCCUAGAUCUGGGACAGAGGACAAUAGGCCAAGUGCUGGGGAAUGAGACACUCACUGAAGAGGAGCAGAGGCUCCUUUCAGUGUUGAGAGAUUGCCAAGGACCUAUAUAGGGAAGUAUCAGAGACUCCUCCAGAGCCUAAAACACCUGCAGAACAUUUAUUUGCAUUGGAACAAACACUACAUACACUUCAUCUAUGUUCUGGCAGUAGUUCUCAGCCAAGAGCAAAAUCAUUUCCCUAGUGAAUUUUAGAAAUGUGUGUAGGGAGGUUUGGGGGUUUUGUUUGUUUAUUUGUUUGUUUGAGACGGAGUCUCGCUCUGUUGCCAGACUGGAGUGUAGUGGCACGA
rnacentral:lncRNA from 1 species